UGGCGGGCGCCCCUCCCGCAGCCUCGCUGCCGCCUUGCAGGUUGAUCUCAGACUGCUGUGCUAGCAAUCAGUGAGACUCCGUGGGCGUAGGACUCUCCAAGCCAGUGAGAUGAACUCGGUAUCUCAGAUGGAAAUGCAGAAAUCACCGUCUUCUCCAUCGCUCACGCUGGGAGCUGUAGACCGGAGCUGUUCCUAUUCGGCCAUCUUUGCUCCUCCCUGCAACUAACUCCAUUCUUAAUUGGGUCUCACUCUGUCACCUAGGCUGGAGUGCAGUGGCGUGAUGGCGUGAUCUCGGCUCAUUGCAACCUCUGCCUCCCAGGCUCAAGCAGUCCUCCCACCUCAGCCUCCCAGGUAGCUGGGACUACACGUGCGUGCCACACGUGGUGUCUCACCAUGUUGCCGAGGCUGGUCUUGAACCCCUGAGCUCAAGCGAUCUGCCCACCUGGGCCUCUCCAAGUGCUUGGAUUACAGGCGUGAGCCACCAUGCCCGACUCCUAAUUAAUAAAAUUCUUUAAUUAGAUUGUUUUUUAAUUAUCAAGUUGUAAAAGUUUUUCUACAUUCCUCUUUACUCUUAAUUAGUUGAAAAUUUGUCAAUUGUUCUUUAAGGUAAAAAGGCUAAAUCAAGACCUUAUGCUACCAGUUUGGAUAAGA
rnacentral:lncRNA from 1 species